rnacentral:rRNA from 1 species
ACGCUGGCGGCACGCCUAACACAUGCAAGUCGAACGGAGAUUUGAGAGCUUGCUCUUAAAUCUUAGUGGCGGACGGGUGAGUAACACGUGAGCAACCUGCCUCUGAGAGAGGGAUAGCUUCUGGAAACGGAUGGUAAUACCUCAUAACAUUACAUGACCGCAUGAUCGUGUAAUCAAAGAUUUAUCACUCGGAGAUGGGCUCGCGUCUGAUUAGCUAGUUGGUGAGGUAACGGCCCACCAAGGCGACGAUCAGUAGCCGGACUGAGAGGUUGAACGGCCACAUUGGGACUGAGACACGGCCCAGACUCCUACGGGAGGCAGCAGUGAGGGAUAUUGCACAAUGGAAGGAAACUCUGAAUGCAGCGAUGCCGCGUGGAGGAAGUAAGGUUUCGGAUUGUAAACUCCUGUUUCGAGGGACGAUAAUGACGGUACCUCGGGAGGAAGCUCCGGCUAACUACGUGCCAGCAGCUGC